CCUACGGGUGGCAGCAGUGAGGAAUAUUGGUCAAUGGCCGUGAGGCUGAACCAGCCAAGUCGCGUGAGGGAGGACGGUCCUGUGUAUUGUAAACCUCUUUUGUCAGGGAACAAAGGCGGCCACGUGUCCCCGUUUGCGUGUACCUGAAGAAAAAGCAUCGGCUAACUCCGUGCCAGCAGCCGCGGUAAUACGGAGGAUGCGAGCGUUAUCCGGAUUUAUUGGGUUUAAAGGGUGCGCAGGCGGUCUGUUAAGUCAGCGGUAAAAGUUCGGGGCUCAACCCCGGCGCGCCGUUGAAACUGGCGGUCUCGAGUGGGCGAGAGGUAUGCGGAAUGCGUGGUGUAGCGGUGAAAUGCAUAGAUAUCGCGAAGAACUCCGAUUGCGAAGGCAGCAUACCGGCGCCACACUGACGCUGAGGCACGAAAGCGUGGGUAUCGAACAGGAUUAGAUACCCGAGUAGUC
rnacentral:rRNA from 1 species